GAUGAACGCUGGCGGCGUGCCUAAUACAUGCAAGUCGAGCGAACAGACGAGGAGCUUGCUCCUCUGACGUUAGCGGCGGACGGGUGAGUAACACGUGGAUAACCUACCUAUAAGACUGGGAUAACUUCGGGAAACCGGAGCUAAUACCGGAUAAUAUAUUGAACCGCAUGGUUCAAUAGUGAAAGACGGUUUUGCUGUCACUUAUAGAUGGAUCCGCGCCGCAUUAGCUAGUUGGUAAGGUAACGGCUUACCAAGGCAACGAUGCGUAGCCGACCUGAGAGGGUGAUCGGCCACACUGGAACUGAGACACGGUCCAGACUCCUACGGGAGGCAGCAGUAGGGAAUCUUCCGCAAAGGGCGAAAGCCUGACGGAGCAACGCCGCGUGAGUGAUGAAGGUCUUCGGAUCGUAAAACUCUGUUAUUAGGGAAGAACAAAUGUGUAAGUAACUAUGCAGGUCUUGACGGUACCUAAUCAGAAAGCCACGGCUAACUACGUG
rnacentral:rRNA from 1 species